GACGAACCGUGCGAACGUUGUUCGGAAUCACUGGGCUUAAAGGGCGCGUAGGCGGACUGCCAAGUCCGGGGUGAAAUCCUCCGGCUUAACCGGAGAAUUGCCUGGGAUACUGGCGGUCUUGAGGGAGGUAGGGGCACGCGGAACUUCCGGUGGAGCGGUGAAAUGCGUUGAUAUCGGAAGGAACGCCGGUGGCGAAAGCGACACACUGGAUCUUGUCUGACGCUGAGGCACGAAAGCCAGGGGAGCGAACGGG
rnacentral:rRNA from 1 species